rnacentral:rRNA from 1 species
CCUACGGGUGGCAGCAGUGGGGGAUAUUGCACAAUGGGGGGAACCCUGAUGCAGCGACGCCGCGUGGGUGAAGAAGCGCCUCGGCGCGUAAAGCCCUGUCAGCAGGGAAGAAAAUGACGGUACCUGACGAAGAAGCCCCGGCUAACUACGUGCCAGCAGCCGCGGUAAUACGUAGGGGGCAAGCGUUAUCCGGAUUUACUGGGUGUAAAGGGGGCGCAGACGGCGAUGCAAGCCAGGAGUGAAAGCCCGGGGCCCAACCCCGGGACUGCUCUUGGAACUGCGUGGCUGGAGUGCAGGAGGGGCAGGCGGAAUUCCUAGUGUAGCGGUGAAAGGCGUAGAUAUUAGGAGGAACACCAGUGGCGAAGGCGGCCUGCUGGGCUUUAACUGACGCUGAGGCUCGAAAGCGUGGGGAGCAAACAGGAUUAGAUACCCCAGUAGUC